AUGCAGAUGUUGAUUGCGCGGCAGAUAUUGAUUUCGACCAGCCAAAUCUGCCUCCCCCGCUACCUCGAUCAGCCGCGCCGCCUUCAUACGUCGCCGCCGCCGCACGCCGUUCCAGGAGAGAGGAUCAAGGAGAGAAAUUAUGCAGGCUUAGAAGAGAGAAGAAACUGGUACCUCGCUUCCACCGUCCGCCGAUGCUCGCCACUUGAUUUCUCACGCCGCCACAGAAGAAGAGACGAGAUGGCGGACGGAAUAGGGUUUCUUCGGUGUACUCAUUGUGCCCAUCUGAGCGGUGCUCCUGGAGAUGCUCCGUAUCAUGGCAUCGUCUCCAGCUCUCCCAUCAAAGGAGAAAUUUCCGCUGGCGUCCAAGGGCGCGGGGUACAGGAUAGAUCACCGUCCAUGAUUGACGUGAAUUGA
rnacentral:rRNA from 1 species